rnacentral:rRNA from 1 species
CACAUGCAAGUCGAACGAAGUAGCAAUACUUAGUGGCAGACGGGUGAGUAACAUGUAGGUAUCUGCCCUUUGGCCUGGAAUAACACGAGGAAACUUGUGCUAAUACCGGAUAAGUCUUUACGGAGAAAGCUUUAUGCACCAUUGGAUGAGCCUGCACUUGAUUAGUUUGUUGGUGGGGUAAUGGCCUACCAAGACUGUGAUCAAUAGCUGAUUUGAGAGGAUGAUCAGCCACAUUGGGACUGAGACACGGCCCAAACUCCUACGGGAGGCAGCAGUGGGGAAUCUUGCACAAUGGAGGAAACUCUGAUGCAGCGAUGCCGCGUGAGUGAAGAAGGCCCUUGGGUUGUAAAGCUCUUUCGUCGGGGAAGAAAAUGACUGUACCCGAAUAAGAAGGUCCGGCUAACUUCGUGCCAGCAGCCGCGGUAAUACGAAGGGACCUAGCGUAGUUCGGAAUUACUGGGCUUAAAGAGUUCGUAGGUGGUUGAAAAAGUUAGUGGUGAAAUCCCAGAGCUUAACUCUGGAACUGCCAUUAAAACUUUUCAGCUAGAGUAUGAUAGAGGAAAGCAGAAUUUCUAGUGUAGAGGUGAAAUUCGUAGAUAUUAGAAAGAAUACCAAUUGCGAAGGCAGCUUUCUGGAUCAUUACUGACACUGAGGAACGAAAGCAUGGGUAGCGAAGAGGAUUAGAUACCCUCGUAGUCCAUGCCGUAAACGAUGUGUGUUAGACGUUGGAAAUUUAUUUUCAGUGUCGCAGCGAAAGCGAUAAACACACCGCCUGGGGAGUACGACCGCAAGGUUAAAACUCAAAUGAAUUGACGGGGACCCGCACAAGUAGUGGAGCAUGUGGUUUAAUUCGAAGAUACGCGCAGAACCUUACCAACACUUGACAUGUUCGUCGCGACUCUAAGAGAUUAGAGUUUUCGGUUCGGCCGGACGAAACACAGGUGCUGCAUGGCUGUCGUCAGCUCGUGUCGUGAGAUGUUGGGUUAAGUCCCGCAACGAGCGCAACCCUCACUUUUAGUUGCCAUCAUUAAGUUGGGCACUCUGAAAGAACUGCCAGUGAUAAGCUGGAGGAAGGUGGGGAUGACGUCAAGUCCUCAUGGCCCUUACGUGUUGGGCUACACACGUGCUACAAUGGUAUCUACAACAGGAAGCAAGACUGCGAAGUUAAGCAAAUCCCUAAAAGAUACCUCAGUUCGGAUUGCACUCUGCAACUCGAGUGCAUGAAGCUGGAAUUACUAGUAAUCGUGGAUCAGCGUGCCACGGUGAAUGCGUUCCCGGGUCUUGUACACACCGCCCGUCACACCAUGGGAGUUGGUUCUACCUUAAGGCAAGGUUUCAAACCCUUGACCACGGUAUAGUCAGCGACUGGGGUGAAGUCGUAACAAGGUAGCCGUA